CUUUAGUAAUAAAGCCUAGACUUGACAUAUACUUAGACUGCUUUUAUCCUAUAGACCUCCAACAAUUAAUCUUAAAGGUCUCUUCAGCUAAGCAAUCUUCCUUUCUCUUACACCCCAUCUCAACAAGGCUACUUAAAGAAGCGUUACCCGUGGUUAACACUUCAUUACUAGAUAUGAUAAAUACAGUUUUAUUAACAGGUUAUGUACUGAAGUCAUUUAAAGUAGAUGUGA